CAGCCUGCCCAGUGAAAUUUUAACGGCCACGGUACCCUAACCGUGCGAAGGUAGCAUAAUCACUUGUUCUUUAAAUGGGGACUCGUAUCAACGGCAUCACGAGGGUUCUACUGUCUCCUUUCUCUAAUCAGUGAAACUAAUCUCCCCGUGAAGAAGCGAGGAUAACACUAUAAGACGAGAAGACCCCAUGGAGCUUUAAACCCAAUUAUAUCCCUAACCCCUAUACCCAUUUAACCUCUUAGGCCUAUAUACUUGGUUUUAGGUUGGGGCGACCACGGAGUAAAACCAAACCUCCAUGAUGUACGGAACAACCUCCUUAUCUAAGAGCCACAGCUCUAAGAAUUAGCACACUAUCAUAAAAUGACCCAUUAUUGAUCAACGAACCAAGUUACCCUGGGGAUAACAGCGCAAUCCAUUUUAAGAGCCCCUAUCGACAAAUGGGUUUACGACCUCGAUGUUGGAUCAGGAUAUCCCAGUGGUGCAGCAACUACUAAAGGUUCGUUUGUUCAACGAUCAAAAUCCU
rnacentral:rRNA from 1 species